UACGUAGGUGACCAGCGUUGUCCGGAUUUACUGGGCGUAAAGAGCGCGCAGGCGGUCGUUCAAGUCGGGUGUGAAAGCCCCCGGCUCAACUGGGGAGGGUCACUCGAUACUGAUCGACUUGAAGGCAGGAGAGGGAAGCGGAAUUCCCGGUGUAGUGGUGAAAUGCGUAGAUAUCGGGAGGAACACCAGUGGCGAAGGCGGCGUCCUGGACCAACACUGACACUGAUGAGCGAAAGCCAGGGGAGCAAACGGG
rnacentral:rRNA from 1 species